UGGGGAAUAUUGGACAAUGGGCGAAAGCCUGAUCCAGCCAUGCCGCGUGUGUGAAGAAGGUCUUCGGAUUGUAAAGCACUUUAAGUUUGGAGGAAGGGCAGUAAGCGAAUACCUUGCUGUUUUGACGUUACCGACAGAAUAAGCACCGGCUAACUCUGUGCCAGCAGCCGCGGUAAUACAGAGGGUGCAAGCGUUAAUCGGAAUUACUGGGCGUAAAGCGCGCGUAGGUGGUUCGUUAAGUUGAAUGUGAAAGCCCCGGGCGCAACCUGGGAACUGCAUCCAAAACUGGCGAGCUAGAGUAGGGCAGAGGGUGGUGGAAUUUCCUGUGUAGCGGUGAAAUGCGUAGAUAUAGGAAGGAACACCAGUGGCGAAGGCGACCACCUGGGCUCAUACUGACACUGAGGUGCGAAAGCGUGGGGAGCAAACAGG
rnacentral:rRNA from 1 species